UUAAACUGACACGAGCACAUUAAUCGUGUAAUAAAAUAUGAUUUCAGCCACAUAGCUGUUUUUAAUGAUUAUUUUGACUUACAGAAUAUACGCUCAUUAGGUGUUUUCCUGAAUCAACCCGUUGUUUAUGCGUUUAAUGUGUUUGCUUCGAGAGAUGCUAUUAAAGGCAUUGUGUAAGUUGUUUGGUUUCUAAGGCUGAAACACAGCUGUGCGGAGUCGGUUGACUUUACAUGACCCUGCUGCUGUCUUUAAGUGUCUUCAUGCCUGAGGCCGGUUUGUUUACAACUAAAAGUUCGUGUUUAAAUCGAGAUAGCGCUCAGUAUGAACUGGGAUCAUCAUUUGAGCUCCAUAAUUUCAGAGGCUGAUGGAAGUGUCGCAAAAAUGAGGGAACAUCUUACCACACAUGGAAGACCUCCCAGAGGAAAGGAAGAUCUGUAUCCAGUGAGAGAGAUGAUGGCAAGUGUUGAUUUGAAGCCCUCUUCCUCUCUCAGUACUGCGGUUCAGUGGUCAGAUCUGACAGCCAUCCAGACCCAAUUACAUCAACAGAGUCAGGCCAUUGAGACUUUAACACAAAGCCUUCGCUUACUGGAGAGAGAACGUGACACUCAGCAAAGACAAAUCAAGACAUUACAAGAGGAGCAGAGGAGACUUAAGGACAGACUAGAGGAGAGAGAGAGGGAUGCCGAGCGGAGAACGUUGAGUCCUGCACCGGACAGACGGGUGGAGCAGUGGAAGAGAGAGAUGGCUCGAGAGUUGAGCAGUUUGAGAGGUCAGAUCAACCGAGCCACGACUCUAGAAACACAGGAAGAAAGUUUCAGCUCUAAACUCCGCAGAGAAGAACUAGAGCAGCUCAGAAGAGAAGUUGACAUUCUCAAGAACAAACUGAUGCGACAAGAGGAAGAUACGUUCCAGCUUCAGUCAGAGGCCAGAGAAACAAGGAGACAGUAUGAACGAAACUCUAAGACGCUGCAGAGUCUUACAGAUUCAUACCGCACACACAGUUUUGAACUUGCCCGGAUGGUUUCACAGUACCAGCACACUCAACAGGAAGUUCGAGAUGUCAGAGUCACUGUGUCUGAGCUGAAGGAUGAGGUAAGAGGUCUGAUCCUGAGAGACGUCCUGCCCACACCUGCACAUGUGCCAAAGAAACCAGUGGUAACCGUGGAGACAAGCCCUCGGGGACGCGUGUCGUCAGGGUCGGAGGAUGAUUUCAGUCCCACCCCGAGUCUGGGGGAGAUCAGCUCAGAUGAGCUGGAUACAUCCUGGCUAGGAGAACCAGAGAGACACACAAGGAGUCGCCGCCGACGUGUUCACCAAAGUUUAGGACUGUCAGGAAGUGAUCUCAGCAAUGCUGGAAGUGAGCUUGAUGGUAACCUUGACAACAAUGCUGAAGACGUGGACGGAGUUUUAGACAGCCCUCCUGAUCUCAGUCUCAGUGACCUCUGACCUUAAAAGCUAAAUAAACUAUCUGCUGAUACUUUAAGCUACCUGAAGAAAUGGAACCUUGCUUUUUCAUAGUGACUGGACCAUUUUAAGAGUGCAGCAGAGAGUAUACUUCUGUCACAAAGGCCUGGAGUAUGAGAGGUACUUUUUCCACUGUCAGUAAUGGAUCUACACCAACAUAAAAUCCAGUACUGGUUGGGAACCGAGAACCAGAGGCACAAAAACCAUAUAUGCAAGGUAUAUAUAGUGCCAUGUAUAGGGGCGCGUACUCGACAGAUACAUGGGGCGCAAAAUUAACGCUUGUAACGGACACUUAUAACACUCCAACACCCCAUAUAUAUAUAUAAUGGUUUCCUUCAUCGAAACGGUACAAGGCUUGGUGACUUUUCCUGUAUUUGCCAUUUGAACACAAAAAAAAAAAAAAACUGAAUUGAUUCUAUGAAUCCAGGUGAUUUUAUCAAACAGUGUUACACAUUUUGCAUUCCCGAAAAGAAUUAGACUUGUAACACACACACCAUCACUUGCUCUCGAGCGCUUUCUCUCUCUCUCUCCUUCUCUCUCACACACACACACACACACACACACAUAUACACAUACACAUACAGAAAUUAGGUUUGGGAGCCACACCAUCCAGACAAAACACAAUCUAUUAUGAAAACAAAAUUUCAUGUGAAGUUAUACAUGUGGCUUCCUUUGGCCUUCCUCACAGUUCUAUUUCAGCAGCACAAUGCAUUACUGUUUGGUCAUUUUUGACCGAUUCAACUUUUGUUUUUGUAAUUAAAAUGUUUUCCUUCAUCUGAAUGGGACAAAGCUUGGUGACUUUUUCUACACUUGCCAUCGCAACACACUUACAAAAAAAAAAAAAAAAAAAGAAAUAAGUAGAUUCUGAGUCUGUGUGAUUUUCAAGACUUUAUUCUUCUUUUUCUUCACUGCUUAUUACUGUUUUUUAUAAAUAGUUUGUUUAUUGUUGUUCAUUAUCUUGCCAUUUUUAUUACUUCGCUGACUGAAUUUGAAUUUAAUUUUAUGUUUGCAAAAUAAAUGGGUUGUAACAAAAUGCUUUGUAAAAGUCUUCUCUUUGUAACACCAUGGUCAAGUUUGACUGCAAAUGUAAAACAAAUGCUAAACUUUGACAAUAGUCUUUGAUAAUAUCUAAAUAUAUAUCCAAAUUCAAAACUUAAUAUCUAGAUUAGAAAGUAACUUUGUUACAAUAUUGGUUUACAGUGACCAGGCAGCAUGUGGAUCACUGCUGCCAUCUACUUGUUAUAAUUGCAAUUCCAUCUAAAUGUAUAGAUUUUUUUCCCAGCAGAUGGCAGCAGAUGCUCCAAAUGCAUGACACAUUUGGAGAUUUUCUUAUUUUUUCAGUUUAAUUAAGUUUGUUUUUAAUUAGUUGGAAGUAAUAUAAAAUGUGUUUUUUUUUUUUUAUAUGAAAAUAAAUGGUGUAAUUUAGAGAUAAAUUAGGUUGAAAUACCAUACAAUUCCAAAAGAAUGCAUAUGUUAAGUGUUAUUAAUAUAGUGAAGUUAGUUUUAUUACUUUUCUUUAAAAAAUUAAAAUAAAAUACAUGAUAACGGUUUUCUUUUUUUUUACCGGUAAUAAGAGUGUUGGCCUGUAACGAAGACUGAAGAAGCGUUAAAAAAAAUAAUACUGGAAUUGUAUUCAUUUCAUUGUGUAUUGUAGUUAAAGAUAGGCCCACAUUUUAAGUUUUGUCUGUAAAUUUUAUUAUGUAGUAAGGACCAUUUAUUGGAUUUAAUUGAUGCCUCUAAAAAGUCUGUAUAAACACACCUUUUGCAAGAAUUGUAUUAAAUAUGUUUCUGAUAUAUUCUGUUAUAUCUGCUCUAUCGAAAUCUGAAAUGAGCUUAUAAUUUUGCAACAGACUGCUGAGGGCAGUAAAUGCAAUAAAAAUUACAUUUCAUAUUUCCAAAUAUUUCCUCAUCAAAAGUAAGAAGCAUUAAUGAAACUGCUUUAAGAGUAAUCCGAACCAGAAUCGUUAAAUUCCUUACAAU